rnacentral:rRNA from 1 species
GCGACCCCAGGGCAGGCGGGAUUACCCGCUGAAUUUAAGCAUAUCAAUAAGCGGAAGAAA